rnacentral:lncRNA from 1 species
GUUUUGGGGUUUUUUUUUGGGGUAUUUUCGGGGGUAGUUUUUUGGGGGUUUUUUUUUUUUGGGGGAUUUUUGGGGGGAUUUUUUCGGGGUUUUUUUUUUUUGGAUUUUUGGGGGAUUUUUGGGGUUUUUUUUUGGGAUUUUGGGAGCCCUCACCGCCUGCUUGGUGGAUUUCCCCCCGGCUUUGAGGUCCCUCAGUUUCUUCUCCUGCUUCUCAAAUUGUUUCAGCAGCUCCUUCUGCUUCUGCUGGUACAUCUUCUUAAAGGUCACUGCAACCCCGACAUUCCCAGGAUUUUUAUGGAAUUUUCUGGAAUUUUCUGGAAUUUUCCAGAAUUUUCCAGAAUUUUCCGGAAUUCUGGGCCAUUCCCAACCCCCCCCAAUUCCCAUUUUCCCUUUUUUUUAUUUGGUUUCCUCCCAAUAUUCCCAAUUUUCCCUUCCACUCCUCAUUCCCUCCCUCCUUUAUUCCCAAAUUUCCCCUCCCAUUCCCCAUUUUUUCCCAGUUUUCCCCCAAUUUUCCACCAUUUUUCCCAGUUUUUCUCCUUUUUUUGCCCAUUUUCCCCCAUUUUCUCCAAUUUUCCCCCAAUUUUCCCCCAUUUUAUUCCAUUUUCCCCCCCAUUUUUUCCCCCAUUUUUAUCCCGUUUUUCUCCGGGUUUUUUCCCUGUUUUUCCCAAUUUUGUUUUUUCCCAAAUUCCCAUUUUUUCCCCCCAAACUGACUGUAAUUCCCCCCUGGUACCAGUGCAGUUCCUGCCUCUCCAGCUGCAUCAGUUCCCAUUUCCUCAUUUUAUUCCAUUUUUUCCCAUUUUUUGGCCAUUUUUUCCCCGUUUUUUUCCCGGAUUUUUUCCCCGUUUUUUCCCAUUUUUCCCAAUUUUUCCCCUUUUUCCCAAAUUCCCAUUUUUUACCCCCAAACUGACUGUAAUUCCCCCUGUCCCAGUGCAGUUUCUGCCUGUCCAGCUGCAUCAGUCCCCAUUUUUUGGCCAUUUUUUCCCCGUUUUUUCCCCAUUUUUUGGCCGUUUUCCCCCGGAUUUUUUCCUGGAUUUUCCCCAAUUUUGGUUUUUUCCCAAAUUCCCGUUUUUUGGCCCCAAACUGACUGUAGUUGCCGCGGUAGUAGUGCAGUUUCUGGCUGUCCAGGUGGAUGAUGUCGGUGCAGACGUCGUCCAGGAACCCCUGGUCGUGGCUGACCACCAGCAGCGUCUUCUUCCAGCUCUGCAGGUAACUGGAUUGGGGGGAAAAACCGGGAUUUGGGGAAAAAGGGGGAAAAAUGGGAAUUUGGGGGGGA